UACAGAGGGUGCGAGCGUUAAUCGGAAUUACUGGGCGUAAAGCGUGCGUAGACGGUUAUGUAAGUCGGGUGUGAAAGCCCCGGGCUCAACCUGGGAAUUGCAUUUGAGACUGCAUAGCUAGGGUGCGGAAGAGGGAAGCGGAAUUUCCGGUGUAGCGGUGAAAUGCGUAGAUAUCGGAAGGAACAUCAGUGGCGAAAGCGGCUUCCUGGUCCAGCACCGACGUUCAGGCACGAAAGCGUGGGGAGCAAACAGG
rnacentral:rRNA from 1 species